GCUUACGGCCAUACCAACCUGGCUAUGCCUGAUCUCGUCUGAUCUCAGAAGCUAAGCAGGUUUGGGCCUGGUUAGUACUUGGAUGGGAGACCACCUGGGAAUACCAGGUGCUGUAAGCU
ensembl:rRNA 5S_rRNA 5S ribosomal RNA